AUGACAGUUUUGUUAAAUUCUGUUGAAGUUCUAUGUGUUGGAAUUUGGUUAAGGAUGCAAUGGAUUGUUAGAAGUUCUGUUAUAAACCUUUUUUAUGUGCAGGGCUGUUAUGGUAGUAUAAGGUUUGGUUGGGUGGAAAUUCUGGUAUAUAGCCUGGUUUUGAAUGGUCAUGAACUGCUAAAUUCUAAACGUUUAGGAUUUAUCACGGCAACUGUUUUGGUACAUGCAUACUAG